CGAAACCGAUAGCGAACAAGUACCGUGAGGGAAAGUUGAAAAGUACUCUGAAUAGAGAGUUAAAUAGUACGUGAAACCGCUUAGGGGUUAAGCCCGAUGAACCCGAAUAUCUGAUGUGAGAAAUUCAAUACGAUUCAAAUUCAUAUUUUUAUAUUGGAUUUGUAUAGUAUGCACUUUUCUCAUAGUAAGACAUUGUAAUCCAUUGAUAUUAUAUCUCAUCAUGAGAUGAUUUAACAUACGGUCAAAAUGUUUAUGAUUAUUCUAUCAGUGAUAUGUUUACAUGUCAUAUGAAUAAAAUCGUUUUGUUCCUGUUUAAAUAGUCGAUGGAUUUUUCAUUGAAAUCAUGCUUGCAAUUUAUUUUGCGUUUCGUAUCAUUAAUUUUUAAUUGUUGAUAGCAGAAAUGGCAUGUAUUCGAUUAACAAUGCGAUAGAUUUGGGAUACUUUCAGGACCCGUCUUGA
rnacentral:rRNA from 1 species